CUUACACAUGCAAGUCGAACGGCAGCACGGGUGCUUGCACCUGGUGGCGAGUGGCGAACGGGUGAGUAAUACAUCGGAACAUGUCCUGUAGUGGGGGAUAGCCCGGCGAAAGCCGGAUUAAUACCGCAUACGAUCUACGGAUGAAAGCGGGGGACCUUCGGGCCUCGCGCUAUAGGGUUGGCCGAUGGCUGAUUAGCUAGUUGGUGGGGUAAAGGCCUACCAAGGCGACGAUCAGUAGCUGGUCUGAGAGGACGACCAGCCACACUGGGACUGAGACACGGCCCAGACUCCUACGGGAGGCAGCAGUGGGGAAUUUUGGACAAUGGGCGAAAGCCUGAUCCAGCAAUGCCGCGUGUGUGAAGAAGGCCUUCGGGUUGUAAAGCACUUUUGUCCGGAAAGAAAUCCUUGGUUCUAAUAUAGCCGGGGGAUGACGGUACCGGAAGAAUAAGCACCGGCUAACUACGUGCCAGCAGCCGCGGUAAUACGUAGGGUGCGAGCGUUAAUCGGAAUUACUGGGCGUAAAGCGUGCGCAGGCGGUUUGCUAAGACCGAUGUGAAAUCCCCGGGCUCAACCUGGGAACUGCAUUGGUGACUGGCAGGCUAGAGUAUGGCAGAGGGGGGUAGAAUUCCACGUGUAGCAGUGAAAUGCGUAGAGAUGUGGAGGAAU
rnacentral:rRNA from 1 species